UAUCACAGGUGUGCUACACCACUACUGCC
rnacentral:piRNA from 1 species